rnacentral:rRNA from 1 species
UACGGAAGGUCCGGGCGUUAUCCGGAUUUAUUGGGUUUAAAGGGAGCGCAGGCCGGUGGCUAAGCGUGACGUGAAAUGUGGACGCUCAACGUCUGAACUGCGUCGCGAACUGGCCGUCUUGAGUUCGCUGUAGGCAGGUGGAAUUUGUGGUGUAGCGGUGAAAUGCUUAGAUAUCACGAAGAACUCCGAUUGCGUAGGCAGCCUGCUGUGGCGCAACUGACGCUCAUGCUCGAAGGUGCGGGUAUCGAAC